rnacentral:tRNA from 1 species
GGCGGUAUAGCUCAGUCGGUAGAGCAACGGAAUCAUAAUCCGUCUGUCGUCGGUUCAAGUCCGGCUGCCGCUA